AUUGAACGCUGGCGGCAUGCCUUACACAUGCAAGUCGAACGGCAGCACGGGAGCUUGCUCCUGGUGGCGAGUGGCGAACGGGUGAGUAAUACAUCGGAACGUACCCUGAAGUGGGGGAUAACGUAGCGAAAGUUACGCUAAUACCGCAUAUUCUGUGAGCAGGAAAGAGGGGGAUCGCAAGACCUCUUGCUUUAGGAGCGGCCGAUGUCGGAUUAGCUAGUUGGUGAGGUAAAGGCUCACCAAGGCGACGAUCCGUAGCGGGUCUGAGAGGAUGAUCCGCCACACUGGGACUGAGACACGGCCCAGACUCCUACGGGAGGCAGCAGUGGGGAAUUUUGGACAAUGGGCGCAAGCCUGAUCCAGCCAUGCCGCGUGAGUGAAGAAGGCCUUCGGGUUG
rnacentral:rRNA from 1 species